rnacentral:rRNA from 1 species
UGGGGAAUAUUGCACAAUGGGCGCAAGCCUGAUGCAGCAACGCCGCGUGAACGAUGAAGGUCUUCGGAUCGUAAAGUUCUGUUGCAGGGGAAGAUAAUGACGGUACCCUGUGAGGAAGCCCCGGCUAACUACGUGCCAGCAGCCGCGGUAAUACGUAGGGGGCUAGCGUUAUCCGGAUUUACUGGGCGUAAAGGGCGUGUAGGCGGCUAGAUAAGUGUGAUGUUUAAAUCCAAGGCUUAACCUUGGGGUUCAUUACAAACUGUUUAGCUUGAGUGCUGGAGAGGAUAGUGGAAUUCCUAGUGUAGCGGUAAAAUGCGUAGAUAUUAGGAGGAACACCGGUGGCGAAGGCGGCUAUCUGGACAGUAACUGACGCUGAGGCGCGAAAGCGUGGGGAGCAAACAGG